UACGUAGGGGGCAAGCGUUGUCCGGAUUUAUUGGGCGUAAAGAGCGUGUAGGCGGCCAUGUAGGUCCGUUGUGAAAACUCGAGGCUCAACCUCGAGACGCCGAUGGAAACCAUUUGGCUAGAGUCCGGAAGAGGAGAGUGGAAUUCCUGGUGUAGCGGUGAAAUGCGCAGAUAUCAGGAAGAACACCCGUGGCGAAGGCGGCUCUCUGGGACGGUACUGACGCUGAGACGCGAAAGCGUGGGGAGCGAACAGG
rnacentral:rRNA from 1 species